rnacentral:rRNA from 1 species
GACAGAGGUCCCGAGCGUUAGGCGGAAUCACUGGGCUUAAAGCGUGUGUAGGCGGAUCGUUAAGUGCCUUGUGAAAUCCCAUGGCUUAACCAUGGAACUGCUUGGCAUACUGGCGAUCUUGAGCCACUUAGGGGCAACCGGAACAAAUGGUGGAGCGGUGAAAUGCGUAGAUAUCGGAAAGAACACCAACGGCGAAAGCACUCUGCUGGGCCGACACUGACACUGAGGGACGAAAGCUAGGGGAGCGAAUGGG